GACGAACGCUGGCGGCGUGCCUCAGACAUGCAAGUCGAACGCGAAAGUUUCCUUCGGGGGAACAAGUAGAGUGGCGCACGGGUGAGUAACACGUAGGUAAUCUACCUUUGGAUGGGGAAUAACAACCGGAAACGGUUGCUAAUACCGCAUAAUGCAGCGGUCACCUAAUGGUGACAGUUGUUAAAGCGGGGGAUCGAAGACCUCGCGUCUGAAGAGGAGCCUGCGGCGGAUUAGCUAGUUGGAAGGUAAUGGCUUACCAA
rnacentral:rRNA from 1 species